ACGAACGCUGGCGGCGUGCUUAACACAUGCAAGUCGAACGGAAAGGCCCUGCUUUUGUGGGGUGCUCGAGUGGCGAACGGGUGAGUAACACGUGAGUAACCUGCCCUUGACUUUGGGAUAACUUCAGGAAACUGGGGCUAAUACCGGAUAGGAGCUCCUGCUGCAUGGUGGGGGUUGGAAAGUUUCGGCGGUUGGGGAUGGACUCGCGACUUAUCAGCUUGUUGGUGGGGUAGUGGCUUACCAAGGCUUUGACGGGUAGCCGGCCUGAGAGGGUGACCGGCCACAUUGGGACUGAGAUACGGCCCAGACUCCUACGGGAGGCAGCAGUGGGGAAUAUUGCACAAUGGGCGGAAACCUGAUGCAGCAACGCCGCGUGCGGGAUGACGGCCUUCGGGUUGUAAACCGCUUUCGCCUGUGACGAAGCGUGAGUGACGGUAAUGGGUAAAGAAGCACCGGCUAACUACGUG
rnacentral:rRNA from 1 species